AGUGAACGCUAGCAGUAGGCCUAACACAUGCAAGUCGAACGGCAGCACAGUAAGAGCUUGCUCUUACGGGUGGCGAGUGGCGGACGGGUGAGGAAUACAUCGGAAUCUACUUUUUCGUGGGGGAUAACGUAGGGAAACUUACGCUAAUACCGCAUACGACCUACGGGUGAAAGCAGGGGAUCUUCGGACCUUGCGCGAUUGAAUGAGCCGAUGUCGGAUUAGCUAGUUGGCGGGGUAAAGGCCCACCAAGGCGACGAUCCGUAGCUGGUCUGAGAGGAUGAUCAGCCACACUGGAACUGAGACACGGUCCAGACUCCUACGGGAGGCAGCAGUGGGGAAUAUUGGACAAUGGGCGCAAGCCUGAUCCAACCAUACCGCGUGGGUGAAGAAGGCCUUCGGGUUGUAAAGCCCUUUUGUUGGGAAAGAAAAGCAGCAGGUUAAUACCCCGCUGUUCUGACGGUACCCAAAGAAUAAGCACCGGCUAACUUCGUG
rnacentral:rRNA from 1 species